UGCCAGACUCCUACGGGAGGCAGCAGUGGGGGAUAUUGCACAAUGGGGGAAACCCUGAUGCAGCGACGCCGCGUGGGUGAAGAAGCGCCUCGGCGCGUAAAGCCCUGUCAGCAGGGAAGAAAAUGACGGUACCUGAAGAAGAAGCCCCGGCUAACUACGUGCCAGCAGCCGCGGUAAUACGUAGGUGGCAAGCGUUGUCCGGAUUUACUGGGUGUAAAGGGCGUGCAGCCGGAGAGACAAGUCAGAUGUGAAAUCCGCAGGCUCAACCUGCGAACUGCAUUUGAAACUGUUUCCCUUGAGUAUCGGAGAGGUCAUCGGAAUUCCUAGUGUAGCGGUGAAAUGCGUAGAUAUUAGGAAGAACACCAGUGGCGAAGGCGGAUGACUGGACGACAACUGACGGUGAGGCGCGAAAGCGUGGGGAGCAAACAGGAUUAGAUACCCCAGUAU
rnacentral:rRNA from 1 species